rnacentral:rRNA from 3 species
CAACUUUCAACAAUGGAUCUCUUGGCUCCAGCAUCGAUGAAGAACGCAGCGAAAUGCGAUAACUAGUGUGAAUUGCAGAUUUCAGUGAAUCAUCGAGUCUUUGAACGCACAUUGCGCCUCUUGGUAUUCCUCGAGGCAUGCCUAUUCGAGCGUCGUUU